rnacentral:ncRNA from 1 species
UGACUGGGACAUUUGUCCAACCAUCAUGCAGGUGUCCUAAGGGGAGCUCAGGGAGGAUGGAAACAUCCCGUGAAGCUGAAGGGCAGAAGUUCCCUUGAUCUUGGUUUUCAAUAUGAAUACAGACCAUGAAAGAUGGGCCUUCUGACCUGUGGGGUUUUAAGCAGGUG